AGGAUUCGUCCAAUUGAAGCAGAGGACAGUGGCGGACGGGUGAGUAACGCGUGAGGAACCUGCCUUUCAGAGGGGGACAACAGUUGGAAACGACUGCUAAUACCGCAUAAGCGCACAGCUUCGCAUGAAGCGGUGUGAAAAACUCCGGUGGUGUGAGAUGGACCCGCGUCUGAUUAGGUAGUUGGUGAGGUAACGGCCCACCAAGGCGACGAUCAGUAGCCGGACUGAGAGGUUGAACGGCCACAUUGGGACUGAGAUACGGCCCAGACUCC
rnacentral:rRNA from 1 species